rnacentral:rRNA from 1 species
GCACCGGCUAACUCCGUGCCAGCAGCCGCGGUAAUACGGUGGGUGCAAGCGUUAAUCGGAAUUACUGGGCGUAAAGCGCGCGCAGGCGGUCUGUCAAGUCGGAUGUGAAAUCCCCGGGCUCAGCCUGGGAACUGCAUUCGCAACAGGCAGGCUAGAGUCUUGUAGAGGGGCGUAGAAUUCCAGGUGGAGCGGUGUAAUGCGUAGUGAUCUGGAGGAAUCCCGGUGGCGA